UAGGUCUCCAGGGCUAAGCAUGGCCU
rnacentral:piRNA from 1 species